UGUGCAGGAAUGGUUCAAAGCUGUGCCAGGGAAAUUUAUGCUGGACUUUAGGAAGCAUUUCUUCACUAAGAGGUGAAGAAAUUAAAAUCAGUUAAACACUUAACAUCAUUAUUGGAGGGACAGUCAAUGCCUCAAGCAUUUUAAGAGGAAGCGUUUAAGCUUAAUUUGGACAAUGCUCUUCCAACAUCUGGGUGAGUGAAGUACACAGGGGUCCCUCUGCUCAAACCAUUUCUAAUGGCUGUAACAGAUUUGGAUCCUCUCCCAUGGCAAGUGUAGUCUGCAGGUCACCAGGGACAGCAAACAUCUGCUCUGGAUGCUGAGAAGUGGCUGAGGUUAUGGCCACUGCUCCUCCUCCUCUUGCUGGAUAUCACUGAAAAGAGUCUGGAACAAUCCUCUUGACACCCACCUUUGAAAUAUUUGUUUUUCUCAGUUUUCUGCACCCUCAGCCUUCCUAGCAGAGUGACCCUGGGGGGAGGCUGGGAAGAUGUGGAACAUCAAUUCCCAUGGGAAGAGCAGUCAGAAGAGGAGGCACUGCUCCCUCCUGGCAUUGCAGGGC